rnacentral:rRNA from 1 species
UUAAAUUGAAGAGUUUGAUCAUGGCUCAGAUUGAACGCUGGCGGCAGGCCUAACACAUGCAAGUCGGACGGUAGCACAGGGGAGCUUGCUCCUUGGGUG